CUUGUUUCUAAAGUAGAGGACACAUCCGUCAACGUCUUCUUCAUCCUCGAGAAGAAAAACACCAGAGAUCACUGUUACCAUAGUUGUUUCCAUCCAAUUCUUCAAACCCUAAUUUCAAUUUCAUCCCAAUUUCAAUUUCAAUUUCAAAAUCCCUUACUCAAAUCAAUCAAAUCACACCCGAAAUCAAAACCAUGUCGUGGCUGAGAUCUGCAGUCAACAAAGCGGUGGAAGUUGGAAACAAGAACAACCUCACUCGCACCGUCAAGAACUACGCCGACUCCGUCGUUCAACACGCCGGCCAUGCCGUUGCCGAAGGCGCCAAAAUCCUUCAGGAUCGCAUUGCUUCUCGGAAUUAUAGAAGCGUUGCGGUGACAGUUAAAAGAUUGGAAGAAGCUGCUAUCUCAUGUAGGGGACCUGAGAGAGUGCAGUUGCUCAGAAGAUGGCUUAUUGUACUUAAAGAGAUUGAGAAUAUGUCUGCGGCGUUGGCUGAAGGUAAAGAGAAGACUCUGGAGGAGCACCUUGCUAUUGAAGAGGAAAAGGAGAAUCCUAAGAGACCAUCACUGGUUCUUUAUUACGAUUCUGACAUGGGAGGAGUACCGUUAAGUUUUCGUGAUGUUUUUCUUCAAAGUCAGGCAUUGGAGGGCAUAACAUUAUCUAUGAUUAUUGAAGCUCCUAAUGAGGAAGAGGUUUCCCUUCUCCUUGAGAUGUUUGGGCUUUGUCUUACUGGGCGAAAAGAAGUUCAUAAUGCUGUAGUAAGUAGCUUACAAGAUCUGGCAACAGCUUUUUCAAGCUAUCAAGAUGAAGUACUGGUGAAGCGUGAGGAAUUGCUUCAGUUUGCACAAGGCGCUAUGUCUGGGUUGAAAAUCAAUUAUGAUCUUGCUAGAAUAGAUGCUGAAGCUUCUACCCUUAAGAAAAAACUCAAUGAGAUAACAACUUCUGAAGUGCUUUUAAACAAAGGCGAUUAUAAAGCUGCUGAGGAAACAACAGCAACGCUAGAGGCUUUAAAAGUUGCCCUUGCACAGAUUAGAGUUUGUUCCAGACUGGAAGGGUUGUUGCUGAAGAAAAAAGAUUUGAACAAUGGAGACUCUCCUGAGAUUCAUGCCCAUAAGGUUGACAAGCUGAAGGUCUUAACGGAAUCUCUUGCUAAUUCUGCUGCUAAAGCUGAAAAGCGUAUUUUAGACAACAGAGUACAAAAAGAGGAGGCAUUAAAAGUUCGUGUGAGUAAAGUCAGUGAAGCUAGUGAAAAGGAGAAGGAACUGGCUGCUGAGAUAUCUGAUCUCCAACGGAAAAAAGAAGAUCUUGAAGCUGAAUUGAAAAAGUUAGGGGCAGCUUGGAAGCAAACAAAGAUGCGAAUAAGAUGUUUAAUACCUGAAGAAUCUUUGAUCAUAAUGAGUGGGCAGAGGCACCCCAUUCACAAGAAUGAGCUUUCAUCAUCUCACUCUUACUCUUACAUUCAAAAUCGCUAUUAUCAUUCUUCUUGUCCCUCUUCUCAUCAUGCAGAUGCAGCACAAGUUGAAUCAAAAAGUAUAAUUGAGAACAACACCCAUAGCCUUGACAAGCUUGCUCGUUACCAUCUCUCACGUAAUGAAAUCGAUCUUGCUCGUCAUGUGUUUGACCAAAUUUCAAAUCCAAGUGUUGUAUUAUGGAACAUGAUGAUCCGAGCUUAUGCUUGGACCGGCCCAUUUCAAAAUGCUAUUAAUUUGUACCAUCACAUGUUGCAGCUCGGAAUAACACCCACCAAGUUCACCUUUCCGUUUGUUCUUAAAGCCUGUUCAACUCUACAAGCUGUACAAGUUGGGAGAGAAAUACACUGCCAUGCUCACACACUUGGUCUGGAAAUGGAUGUCUAUGUUUCUACGGCCUUGCUUGACAUGUAUGCAAAAUGUGGGAAUUUGUCUGAAGCGCAAACACUAUUUAAUAGGAUCUCCCACAAGGAUAUUGUUGCAUGGAAUGCCAUGAUUGCUGGGUUUUCAUUUCAUGCACUUCACUAUGGAACAAUGCAGUUAUUUGUCCGAAUGCAGCAAGCAGGAAUAAUUCCUAAUUCUUCAACUAUUGUAUCUGUUCUACCCUUAGUUGGACAAGCUAAUGCAUUACUGCAGGGGAAGGCUAUUCACGCUUACUCUAUAAAGAAAAUGUUCAAUGAUAAUGUGGUUGUUGGAACUGGACUUUUGGAUAUGUAUGCUAAGUGCCAUCACUUACCUUAUGCUCAGAAAAUCUUCAAUAGCAUUAAUCAAAAGAAUGAGAUAUGCUGGAGUGCUAUGAUUGGAGGAUAUGUCUUUUGUGAUUCAAUGAAAGAUGCAGUGGUCCUUUAUGAUGAAAUGGUAUGUAUAUACGGGUUGAACCCUACACCUAUCACUCUUGCAACCAUAUUGCGAGCUUGUGCAAAACUCACAGACGUGAACAAAGGGAAAAGCUUACACUGUUACAUGAUUAAAUCAGGGAUAGAUUUAGAUACAACAGUAGGCAACUCGCUGAUAUCAAUGUAUGCUAAGUGUGGGAUUAUGGAUGAUGCAGUUGGGUUUCUUGAUGAAAUGAUCACAAAAGACUCAGUUUCUUAUAAUGCUAUUAUUUCAGGUUGUGUGCAAAAUGGCUAUGCAGAGAAAGCUUUACUUAUAUUUCGCCAGAUGCAGUUAUCUGGGACUGACCCAGAUUUGGCGACCAUGACAGGUCUACUGCCAGCUUGUUCACAUUUGGCCGCUCUACAACAUGGUGCUUGCUGCCAUGGAUACUCAGUUGUUCGUGGCUUCACUACAGACACAUCCAUUUGUAAUGCCAUUAUUGACAUGUACUCGAAGUGUGGAAAGAUCGAUAUAAGUCGAGAAAUUUUUGAUAGGAUGCAUAAGAGGGAUAUUAUUUCAUGGAACACAAUGAUAAUUGGUUAUGGCAUUCAUGGGCAAUGCAAAGAAGCGCUUUCACUAUUCCAUGAAUUACAGACUUCAGGCUUGAAGCCAGAUGAUGUGACCCUUAUUGCUGUUUUAUCCGCCUGUAGCCAUUCAGGACUUGUCACAGAAGGGAAAUAUUGGUUUAAUUCCAUGGGCCAUGACUUCAACAUCAAACCAAGGAUGGCACAUUAUAUAUGCAUGGUUGACCUUUUGGCUCGAGCAGGAAAUUUGGAUGAAGCAUACUCUUUUACUCAAAGGAUGCCAUUUGAGCCUGAUGUUCAUAUAUGGAGCGCAUUGCUUGCUGCAUGUAGGACCCACAAAAAUAUUGAAAUGGGUGAAGAAGUGUCAAAGAAGAUCCAACUGUUAGGACCUGAAGGUACUGGAAAUUUCGUCCUUAUGUCUAACAUCUAUAGCUCUGUAGGUAGGUGGGAUGAUGCUGCAUAUGUUAGAAGCAUACAAAAGCAUCAUGGUUACAAAAAAAGCCCAGGAUGCAGUUGGAUUGAGAUCUCUGGGGUAAUCCAUGGGUUUAUUGGUGGGGAUCAAUCCCAUCCACAAUCAGCAUCCAUAAAUGAAAAGUUACAGGAACUGCUGGUGCAGAUGAAAAAAUUGGGAUAUCGUGCGGAAUCUAGUUUUGUUCUCCAUGAUGUUGAAGAAGAGGAAAAGGAGCAGAUUCUCCUUUAUCAUAGUGAAAAAAUAGCCAUUGCAUUUGCAAUUCUUAAUACCAGUCCCAGCGACCCCAUUCUAGUGACAAAAAAUUUGCGGAUAUGUGUUGACUGUCAUGCUGCAAUAAAAUUUAUGAGUCUCAUUACAAAGAGGGAUAUAACAGUUAGAGAUGCAAGUCGUUUUCAUCAUUUUAAGAAUGGAAUUUGCAAUUGUAAGGAUUUCUGGUGAGAGAAAAAAGGAAAGAUGGAGUUACAGGUUUGGUUAGAAUCACCCAAUUGCGAGAAUUCUUCAUUAUUUGUUACGUGCUGCCUGAAUGAGGAACAUGGGAAUUAUGGAGCGCUUAAAGAAAUAGGUUGCUUAGGGUCUUUGCGCCAAACAACUUUUUGUAUACUGGAGAAAGUUUUAUGUCUCCGAUUGAAGGGAGUGAAAACUUGUUCGUAUAUUUUUUUGUCAAAUGUGUUUGAUUUUGCAUACCAUCCCAUAACUAGGGAGAAAGAGUUCUAGAGAAAGGGUCAGUGGAACUUCAAUGAUCACUGGAAAAAAACAGGGAGAUCAGAACAACAGUAGAAGUUUGUUUUUCCCUACACUUGUGUAGGUUGAUUUGCUUAAAACUUCUUCCACCAACAUUAUACGUUGUUGGUGAACAUUGAAUUUUAUUUGCAGAAGCAUGUUUGGCACAUAUGACGUAUUCCCAGGUCUUUCAUGCUCCUGCUCUACCUUACAUAAGACAAAGUAACAAGCAAGCUUGUCAAGGAAAUGGGUGUUGUUCUCAAUGAUACUUUUUGUUCAACUUGUGCUGCAUUUACAUGACUAUGAGGACAAAGAAAUACGGUGGUGAUAGUGUCUCAGUGUUAAUUCUUCUUUGGCUGCUGCUCAAGCACGAUUAUCGAAUGUGAAAGAAGAGAGAGAUCAGUUUGAGGAAGCAAACAACCAGAUAGUUGAACAUCUGAAGAUAAAGGAAGAUGAACUUUCAAAAUCAAUUAG